UUACCAUGCAGUCGAACGAUGAACCUCCUUCGGGAGGGGAUUAGUGGCGAACGGGUGAGUAACACGUGGGCAAUCUGCCCUGCACUCUGGGACAAGCCCUGGAAACGGGGUCUAAUACCGGAUACGAGCCCCCUCCGCAUGGUGGGGGUUGGAAAGCUCCGGCGGUGCAGGAUGAGCCCGCGGCCUAUCAGCUUGUUGGUGAGGUAACGGCUCACCAAGGCGACGACGGGUAGCCGGCCUGAGAGGGCGACCGGCCACACUGGGACUGAGACACGGCCCAGACUCCUACGGGAGGCAGCAGUGGGGAAUAUUGCACAAUGGGCGCAAGCCUGAUGCAGCGACGCCGCGUGAGGGAUGACGGCCUUCGGGUUGUAAACCUCUUUCAGCAGGGAAGAAGCGAGAGUGACGGUACCUGCAGAAGAAGCGCCGGCUAACUACGUGCCAGCAGCCGCGGUAAUACGUAGGGCGCAAGCGUUGUCCGGAAUUAUUGGGCGUAAAGAGCUCGUAGGCGGCUUGUCGCGUCGGAUGUGAAAGCCCGGGGCUUAACCCCGGGUCUGCAUUCGAUACGGGCAGGCUAGAGUUCGGUAGGGGAGAUCGGAAUUCCUGGUGUAGCGGUGAAAUGCGCAGAUAUCAGGAGGAACACCGGUGGCGAAGGCGGAUCUCUGGGCCGAUACUGACGCUGAGGAGC
rnacentral:rRNA from 1 species